rnacentral:rRNA from 1 species
GAAGAGGACAGUGGGAACUCCAUGUGUAGCGGUGAAAUGCGUAGAUAUAUGGAAGAACACCAGUGGCGAAGGCGGCUGUCUGGUCUGUAACUGACGCUGAGGCUCGAAAGUAUGGGUAGCAAACAGGAUUAGAUACCCUGGUAGUCCAUACCGUAAACGAUGAAUGCUAAGUGUUGGAGGGUUUCCGCCCUUCAGUGCUGCAGCUAACGCAUUAAGCAUUCCGCCUGGGGAGUACGGCCGCAAGGCUGAAACUCAAAGGAAUUGACGGGGGCCCGCACAAGCGGUGGAGCAUGUGGUUUAAUUCGAAGCUACGCGAAGAACCUUACCAGGUCUUGACAUACUAUGCAAAUCUAAGAGAUUAGACGUUCCCUUCGGGGACAUGGAUACAGGUGGUGCAUGGUUGUCGUCAGCUCGUGUCGUGAGAUGUUGGGUUAAGUCCCGCAACGAGCGCAACCCUUAUUAUCAGUUGCCAGCAUUAAGUUGGGCACUCUGGUGAGACUGCCGGUGACAAACCGGAGGAAGGUGGGGAUGACGUCAAAUCAUCAUGCCCCUUAUGACCUGGGCUACACACGUGCUACAAUGGAUGGUACAACGAGUUGCGAACUCGCGAGAGUAAGCUAAUCUCUUAAAGCCGAUCUCAGUUCGGAUUGUAGGCUGCAACUCGCCUACAUGAAGCUGGAAUCGCUAGUAAUCGCGGAUCAGCAUGCCGCGGUGAAUACGUUCCCGGGCCUUGUACACACCGCCCGUCACACCAUGAGAGUUUGUAACACCCAAAGUCGGUGGGGUAACCCUUCGGGGAACUAGCCGCCUAAGGUGGGACAAAUGAUUAGGGUGAAGUCGUAACAAGGUAGCCGUA